UCGAUUUCAUAAAACCAUGGAUUUCUCCUUCUCCCUCCACGUGUAAAAAAUAUUUACUGCUGCAACUGAUAUCAAUUGUUUUGACAAUAUUAUGGAUUUGUACAACCGUGGCUUUUUCAUCAGUAUUUUAGAAUUAAUUCUACUGUUAAGAUGUGAUAUUGUACUCCUCCAUCAACUUUUUUUAAAAAUUUUAUAAAUUAUUCCUCAGAAAAGUACUGAAGUAAUUAAUUUUUUUAAAUGAAAGUGGUCUAAGGUUUAUGGCCUUUGCACAAGCCUGAACGGCCCUUACAGGUGGACUUGCAGCAAUAGCAUAUAAUUUAGGUGCCAUUUUACAAUGCUUCUUACCUCCAGCAAAACGGAAUGGGUUCUGCCGGUAUUUGUAAUGCGCAGCCACUUGAAUCUGUUUACCAGAUGCAGCAACCAGCUUGACGAGAAUAGUUAUUAGUAGCAGGCCAACAAAUAUUGUAUUGACCUCGCAAGUUCAAUAAAUCCAUUUGUAACUUUUAAAUAUUUUUAAAAUACAAUAAAUAGCUCCUAUUUAAAACU